rnacentral:lncRNA from 1 species
AUAGCCUUGGUGGGGGGCGCGGGCGAAGUUCGUCCGCCGGACUCGGAAUGGGGCGAGACUUUGCGAGGGGCCUCGGGGUGCCAAAACUAAGCCGCGGGCAAAGCCGCGCCCAAAAAUAAGCACCCGAAGGUCGUGGUUUCAAAAACCCCCAGCGGAAAAAUGGCCAAAAAAUGGGUGGGCUAUAGCCUUGGUGGGGGGCGCGGGCGAAGUUCGUCCGCCGCACUCGGAAUGGGGCGAGACUUUGCGAGGGGCCUUGGGGUGCCACAAAAAAGCCGCGGGCAAAGCCGCGCCCAAAAAUAAGCGCCCGAAGGUCGUGGUGCCAAAACCGCCCAGCGGAAAAAUGGCCAAAAAACGGGUGGGCUAUAGCCUUGGUGGGGGGCGCGGGCGAAGUUCGUCCGCCGGACUCGGAAUGGGACGAGACUUUGCGAGGGGCCUCGGGGUGCCAAAGCUAAGCCGCGGGCAAAGCCGCGGCCGAAGGUCGUGGUGCCAAAAAUCCCCAGCGGAAAAAUGGCCAAAAAACGGGUGGGUUAUAGCCUUGGUGGGGGGCGCGGGCGAAGUUCGUCCGCCGGACUCGGAAUGGGGUGAGACUUUGCGAGGGGCCUCGGGGUGCCAAAACUAAGCCGCGGGCAAAGCCGCGCCCGAAGGUCAUGGUGCCAAAACCCCCCAGCGGAAAAAUGGCCAAAAAACGGGUGGGCUAUAGCCUUGGUGGGGGGCGCGGGCGAAGUUCGUCCGCCGGACUCGGAAUGGGGCGAGACAUUGCGAGGGGCCUCGGGGUGCUCAAAAUAAGCCGCGGGCAAACCGCGCCCAAAAAUAAGCGCCCGAAAGUCGUGGUGCCAAACCCGCCAGCGGAAAAAUGGCAAAAACGGGUGGGCUAUAGCCUUGGUGGGGGGCGCGGGCGAAUUUCGUCCGCCGGACUCGGAAUGGGGCGAGACUUUGCGAGGGGCCUCGGGGUGCCAAAACUAAGCCGCGGGCAAAGCCGCGCCCAAAAAUAAGCACCCGAAGGUCGUGGUUUCAAAAACCCCCAGCGGAAAAAUGGCCAAAAAACGGGUGGGCUAUAGCCUUGGUGGGGGGCGCGGGCGAAGUUCGUCCGCCGGACUCGGAAUGGGGCGAGACUUUGCGAGGGGCCUUGGGGUGCCAAAAAAAAGCCGCGGGCAAAGCCGCGCCCAAAAAUAAGCGCCCAAAGGUCGUGGUGCCAAAACCCCCCAGCGGAAAAAUGGCCAAAAAACGGGUGGGCUAUAGCCUUGGUGGGGGGCGCGGGCGAAGUUCGUCCGCCGGACUCGGAAUGGGACGAGACUUUGCGAGGGGCCUCGGGGUGCCAAAACUAAGCCGCGGGCAAAGCCGCGCCCGAAGGUCGUGGUGCCAAAAACCCCCAGCGGAAAAAUGGCCAAAAAACGGGUGGGCUAUAGCCUUGGUGGGGGGCGCGGGCGAAGUUCGUCCGCCGGACUCGGAAUGGGGCGAGACUUUGCGAGGGGCCUCGGGGUGCCAAAACUAAGCCGCGGGCAAAGCCGCGCCCAAAAAUAAGCGCCCGAAGGUCGUGGUGCCAAAACCCCCCAGCGGAAAAAUGGCCAAAAAACGGGUGGGCUAUAGCCUUGGUGGGGGGCGCGGGCGAAGUUCGUCCGCCGGACUCGGAAUGGGGCGAGACUUUGCGAGGGGCCUCGGGGUGCCAAAACUAAGCCGCGGGCAAAGCCGCGCCCAAAAAUAAGCGCCCGAAGGUCGUGGUGCCAAAACCCCCCAGCGGAAAAAUGGCCAAAAAACGGGUGGGCUAUAGCCUUGGUGGGGGGCGCGGGCGAAGUUCGUCCGCCGGACUCGGAAUGGGGCGAGACUUUGCGAUGGGCCUCGGGGUGCCAAAACUAAGCCGCGGGGAAAGCCGCGCCCAAAAAUAAGCGCCCGAAGGUCGUGGUGCCAUAAACCCCCAGCGGAAAAAUGGCCAAAAAA